rnacentral:rRNA from 1 species
UACAGAGGCCCCGAGCGUUAGGCGGAAUCACUGGGCUUAAAGCGUGUGUAGGUGGAUGCCUAAGUACCUUGUGAAAUCCCACGGCUUAACCGUGGAAUUGCUGGGUAUACUGGGUGUCUUGAGCCACUCAGGGGCUACCGGAACAAAUGGUGGAGCGGUGAAAUGCGUAGAUAUCAUUUGGAACGCCAAUGGUGAAAACAGGUAGCUGGGGGUGUGCUGACACUGAGACACGCAAGCCAGGGGAGCAAACGGG